rnacentral:rRNA from 1 species
CCUACGGGUGGCUGCAGUGGGGAAUAUUGCACAAUGGGGGAAACCCUGAUGCAUCGACGCCGCGUGAGUGAAGAAGCGUUUCGGCGCGUAAAGCUCUGUCAGCGGGGAAGAAACACGGUUCGCGAGAGCCGCCGACGGUACCCGACCAACAAGCCCCGGCUAACUACGUCCCAGCAGCCGCGGUAAUACGUAGGGGGCAAGCGUUAUCCGGAUUCACUGGGUGUAAAGGGAGCGUGAACGGCGAGACAAGUCUAGAGUGAAACGCCGGGGCCCAACCCCGGGACUGCUCUGGAAACGGGCUGGCUGGAGUACAGGAGAGGUAGGUGGAAUGCCUAGUGUAGCGGUGAAAUGCGUAGAUAUUAGG